CUAGGCUACAGAGCGUGCACAUCAUUGGCCGGACUAGUGCGCUCUGCAGCUCACAAACAGUGAUUUUAUGAAAACUAAAGCAAGAAACAAAGUGAGUGACAUAGCGUUCCAAUAAGGCACUCUGGCCCUCAGAUAGGAUCAGCCGAGAGCAUUCCCACCAUAAAUGUAAAUAUGUGGUAAUAUAGAAAAAAAGGGAAGACCGCAAGCGGCGCCUCGUGUAUUACCCUUAGAGAAUAAUGCAUAUCACCUCACAAAGAGGUAUAAUGGAGGAGCAAGCUGCUCAGCCGGAGGGUCCGCAGGGAUCAGGAAUUCCUGUCCUGUUGAAGCAUGCAGAGAAGUGGAGAAAAAGGACCAACGAUUUCCA